rnacentral:rRNA from 1 species
UACGUAGGGUCCGAGCGUUGUCCGGAAUUACUAGGCGUAAAGAGCUCGUAGGUGGUUUGUCGCGUUGUUCGUGAAAACUCACAGCUUAACUGUGGGCGUGCGGGCGAUACGGGCAGACUAGAGUACUGCAGGGGAGACUGGAAUUCCUGGUGUAGCGGUGGAAUGCGCAGAUAUCAGGAGGAACACCGGUGGCGAAGGCGGGUCUCUGGGCAGUAACUGACGCUGAGGAGCGAAAGCGUGGGGAGCGAACAGG